AUUGAACGCUGGCGGCAGGCCUAACACAUGCAAGUCGAGCGGAUGAGAGGAGCUUGCUUCUCGAUUCAGCGGCGGACGGGUGAGUAAUGCCUAGGAAUCUGCCUGGUAGUGGGGGACAACGUUUCGAAAGGAACGCUAAUACCGCAUACGUCCUACGGGAGAAAGCAGGGGACCUUCGGGCCUUGCGCUAUCAGAUGAGCCUAGGUCGGAUUAGCUAGUUGGUGAGGUAAUGGCUCACCAAAGCGACGAUCCGUAACUGGUCUGAGAGGAUGAUCCGUCACACUGGAACUGAGACACGGUCCAGACUCCUACGGGAGGCAGCAGUGGGGAAUAUUGGACAAUGGGCGAAAGCCUGAUCCAGCCAUGCCGCGUGUGUGAAGAAGGUCUUCGGAUUGUAAAGCACUUUAAGUUGGGAGGAAGGGUUGUAGAUUAAUACUCUGCAAUUUUGACGUUACCGACAGAAUAAGCACCGGCUAACUCUGUGCCAGCCGCCGCGGUAACAC
rnacentral:rRNA from 1 species